rnacentral:rRNA from 1 species
AUUGAACGCUGGCGGCAGGCCUAACACAUGCAAGUCGAGCGGUAGAGAGAAGCUUGCUUCUCUUGAGAGCGGCGGACGGGUGAGUAAUGCCUAGGAAUCUGCCUGGCAGUGGGGGAUAACGUUCGGAAACGGACGCUAAUACCGCAUACGUCCUACGGGAGAAAGCAGGGGACCUUCGGGCCUUGCGCUAUCAGAUGAGCCUAGGUCGGAUUAGCUAGUUGGUGGGGUAAUGGCUCACCAAGGCGACGAUCCGUAACUGGUCUGAGAGGAUGAUCAGUCACACUGGAACUGAGACACGGUCCAGACUCCUACGGGAGGCAGCAGUGGGGAAUAUUGGACAAUGGGCGAAAGCCUGAUCCAGCCAUGCCGCGUGUGUGAAGAAGGUCUUCGGAUUGUAAAGCACUUUAAGUUGGGAGGAAGGGCAGUAAAUUAAUACUUUGCUGUUUUGACGUUACCGACAGAAUAAGCACCGGCUAACUCUGUG